rnacentral:misc_RNA from 1 species
GAAAUGACUAGUUUUAUAUGCAAAGCUAAAACUGAUUCAGAAAUUAAACAACUUUAUUUGAUGCAUACAACUAGGGCAUUAGGAAAUAAGAACAACACUUCUAUAUUGAACAUUGAUGGGCAAUACAUAACUAGACAAUGAGAAUUCAAAGUUGCCUUGCUAAAAAGUAUGUGAAUGCAGAAGUUCUACAGGGCCACGUACAGCCUGCAAUUAUGAAUGCAAGGCAUUCAUUGCCAAUCUUCAAACAUGAAUAGCGGAUACAAGGGAGAAAGUUAAAGCAGAUAUAAUAAAUGACUUUGAGCUCACCAUUUCCAUCACAAUCAGCGCUGACUAAACUACUUGGUUUAAAGCUUUUUUCGCUACCUGUAGCCUGUCAAAUCCAGAGAGAAGUGACUUGCAAGGAAAACAUACCAGACGAGAGAUGAAGGGAAGACCGAGCUUUCAUGCAUUGCCAAUUGAAGUGAGCCAUGCCUCAUACUCAUUUAAAAAUUGGUUGAAGAAAUCUCUUUACCCAUUUGCUUUAUUCUAAGCAUUUCUCUAGAGCUCCAUCCUACAAUGAUUAGGCCCACUUGAUCCCAAAGUUCAUCAUUAGCAAGAACUUUGUUGUUUAUUUUUAUUGCAGUCAACUAGUUCAGUAGUGUCAAUCCACCCUACUAAUGCACUACUGUGUUCUGUGUAAAUUCUAUUUUAGAUUGCCAUGCCAUGAAAUGAACACUAAAGUAACAACUAUACCAGCAAAGUUUUCUCUGAUUUGAUAAAUGGGCAUCAAUGAUCAUGGGUCAAUUUUUGUUUAUGUUUUUAAUUUUGACCAUUCUCUUCAAUUACAACUAAUACUUCCAUUCAAGAUUAUGAGAAUGGUCAUUCAUAUCCCUCACCAUCCAUCUCCAGGAAAUUAUUGUAGCCAUCUCAACCGAGCAACAAGCGUAUAGCUCAUCAGAAUAAAGUAAACUUUUCCUAGCAACCACCGACCUUAACCUCCAAAGAUUGAAAUUUACCAUAUUUGGAGGUUUGGUUUGUUCACUCUAAGAAACUUCCCAACAACUGAAUCCCCAAGAAUCACUCCUAAUAAUAUCGUCACAGAUAAGCCACAGUCAAAAACCAAACGCAAAGAACAAAGAAAACCCAAAUAUCAAUUGAGAGAGAAAUAAAGGGAUGUUGCAGAAUGAAGAGAGAGAUACCUGGUUUGUUGGGAGAGAGAGAGAAGAGUAAACAUGGGUAAAACUAAAACACAUAGCAUUCAUCAUUUUCAAUAUGGGUUGCUUCUUCAAGUGAUCUUUCAGCAGAAAGAGAAGAGCUAAACUAAAUAGUCAAAAGAGAGCGAAACUCUAUUUCUGUGUGCUUGUUCAAUUGUUGGUGGUAACGAACACAGGCGCAUUACGAGC